ACAUGCCUACAACAUAACGUUGAUGCACCAUAUCCCAUUAGAACUCCGUAGUUAAGUGCACUUGGGCUAGAGUAGUAUUGGGAUGGGUGAACACCCGGGAAGUCCUAGUAUUUUACAUGCC
rnacentral:rRNA from 1 species